GGCUCCUCGGUUUAACAAAAUGAGGAGUCGGACCUGCCCAGUGAAAUAUUUUUAACGGCCGCGGUACUCUGACCGUGCAAAGGUAGCAUAAUCAUUUGCCUUAUAAUUGAAGGCUGGUAUGAACGGUUUGACAAAAAUAUCGCUGUCUCUUUUUGGUUAACUAAAACUUUAUUUUAAGGUGAAGAAGCCUUAAUUAGAUUAAUAGACAAGAAGACCCUGUCGAGCUUAAAACAAAUUAAUAGGAGAAUAAUUAAUUAAUAAUCUUUAAAAAAAUUACUAUUAAAAAUUUUAGUUGGGGCGACUGAGGAACAAACAAAGCUUCCUUUCUUACUGACAUUAUAAUACCUAUAAGUAUUGAUCCAAAAUUUUUGAUUAAAAAAAUUAGUUACCGCAGGGAUAACAGCAUUAUCUUUUUUAAGAGUUCUAAUCGAAAAAAAGGUUUGUGACCUCGAUGUUGGACCAGAAUAUCCUAAAGAUGCAGAAGUCUUUAAGGGUUGGUCUGUUCGACCAUUAAAAUUCU
rnacentral:rRNA from 1 species